rnacentral:ribozyme from 1 species
CUUGUAACUCCGCCUGUCAAGUCACAGCCGGUCCCAAGCCCGGAAAAAGGAGGAGGGCAAG